UGUUCCCUGGCCCGUCCCCAAUGGAGACCCCAGACCAGUGUCCCAUCCGGUCCAAUCCACCCUCUGCUCCUACACUCUAUUAGGGCUAAUAUUAGCAUUAGAAGGUGAGGUGGGUCCAGAGACAACAGACUCACUACAGAGACAAGAGAGCUGUUAUCAGAGGACUGGACCCACACCACAGUUUGCAGGAGCAGCAGAGUGAGUUACCCAGCCGUCGACAGGACUCUUUGAAGACUGGAGACCAACUGAGUCCUUCCCUGACCUUCAACGACCCUCUCUGGCCCAUGCAGUGGGAACUGUUCAACCAUGGCCAAUACAGCUCCAGUCACUUUGACCUGAACGUGAUGCCAGUGUGGAGCAGGAACAUCACAGGGAACGGAGUGGUGGUCAGCAUCAUCGAUGACGGUAAAGUCAAGACCAAUACAAUACAAGACAGGGCCACGUUAAGCAGCGCACGAUGUUACAGAUAGAAGUGAAUAACAUAGAACAAACAUUCCUCUCUUACACAGCCAUUGCCUACUGAACGUGGCUCAGCCAUGCAAGGCAGAGACAAGAGCAUUUUGUUUUCUGUAUUAAUGAACAUCAUUAUUUAUUUGUUUUGUAUUCUAAUCUCCU
rnacentral:lncRNA from 13 species